AUGCAGAAUUCCGUGAACCAUCGAGUCUUUGAACGCAAGUUGCGCCCGAAGCCAUUAGGCCGAGGGCACGUCUGCCUGGGCGUCA
rnacentral:rRNA from 1 species